rnacentral:tRNA from 1 species
GGGGCUGUAGCUCAGCUGGGAGAGCGCAUGAAUCGCACUCAUGAGGUCCGGGGUUCGAUCCCCCGCAGCUCCACCG